rnacentral:rRNA from 1 species
CCUACGGGUGGCAGCAGUGGGGAAUAUUGCACAAUGGGGGGAACCCUGAUGCAGCAAUGCCGCGUGGGUGAAGAAGCACUCCGGUGCGUAAAGCCCUGUCAGCAGGGAAGAAAAUGACAGUACCUGGACAAUAAGCCCCUGCUAAAUACGUGCCAGCAGCCGCGGUAAUACGUAGGGGGCAAGCGUUAUCCGGAUUUACUGGGUGUAAAGGGAGCGCAGGCGGCGUGGCAUAUCAGAUGUGAAAACCCGGGGGCCAACCCCGGGAGUGCAUUUGAAACUGCCAUGCUGGAGUGUCGGAGUGGUAAGCGGAAUUCCUAGGGUAGGGGUGAAAUGCGUAGAUAUUAGGAGGAAAAACAGUGGCGGAGG